CUCACAUAGACAGGGCCACCGCUGAUAGCCCUGGCAGAUGCAUGAUAUUCAGCAGCUGAAUGGAGGGAAUGGAACAUAUCCCAAUCAGGCUGCAUGAUUUCUCCUAGAAAAACACUGUUAUAUGCCACUGCUGCUAUAUGGAUUGUGUGUGAAACUGGAUCCCGUGGGAAGAAAUCAUCUGAUGCUCUCACCACCGCCGUUUGUUUCGAGCAAUAUAAUGCAUCAGUAUUAUGACUCAUGCAAGCAAUGCAGCCAUUAUCAGGGAAGUUCCUGGCCACAGACGCAUCAAGAGCCUGAUGAUACUGCCUAGUCAACUCUACCCUUCCUCCCAAACCACCACCCAGCGUCUCCAAUAUGCACUGCACGUCCACCUUAACCCCAUCUAUACCCGCAGAAGCCAGAUAACUAUGCAAUUUAUCGUAGAAUUUGUACACGCUCUUAGGAUCCAUCAGCCCCAAUCCCUGCACCUUCAUUAUAUCAGUGUUCCAUGUUGGAUCAUUUUCCAACACUCCCUUUGAAAUCAUCGGAUACUUCAUCAACGACCCGUAUUCCUCCAUUUCCUUCACUCCCGGCCGAACCCCACCCCAGUAUCCGGUAAUAGCGUGCCAUACAUACACGUAUUUCAACCCGUGCUUCUGUUUCGCGAUGUUUACGAUAUUCUUUAUCCCUAACAUUGGUUCAUCUUUCUUUUGGAAUUUCGAAUUUUCUUUGAUUCCAGUCAACCUAAGCAACUGCUGCUGUUUGUUCUCGUCGGUUUCCUCCUGUGGGUCGCCACCAACUGAUUGCCAUCCAUCGUCGAUGAUCACGAAUUUUGGAGGUGUCCCACCGGCGGCUAAACUAUCGAGCCCAGCCUCCACUCCUUCUUGAGUCACUUCAUGGUAAAAUGCAUCCCAGGUGCACCAUCCGAAAUAGUCUACGAUCCCAGGCAAUUUUUUCUCGUGCCGUUGACGGAAAGUUUUUAAAUGUAACUUAACUGAUCUUAUUGCAUCUGCAAUCGUACCAAACGGAUCUGUACCGGCGUGAAUGAACAAAGAGUUCGAAAACAACGACGCUUUGGUUUCAGGGUCGCCGCUUUCCAAACAGAGCUCGAGCUCGUCGUUCAUGUUUCCCUGCAAAGAAGCUCUAAAAGAUCCUUCAAUCAAAGGAAGGAAAACUGUGUAAAUUAUCUGAUUCUCUUCGUUUCCGUAGUCGGAUUCGAGUUGGGAACCAUCCUUAGUCUCGACUAGCAAAAAUUGCGUCUCCAGAGGAAUGUCCCUCCCGUGAUCUCCCAUUUUCUGGGCCAUCCAGUAAAGCUUGAACCGGAAGCAGGCCAUGAACCGGACUUCCCGUAAAGUGCCCAAAGGCACCACUUGGCGACUGUUUUCUUCAUUGAAAACAGCUCCCAGAAAGACCCCUUCGACGGAACCGGAGGAGGCACCGGAUGUUGGUAUCACAUUGUCCGGUACUCCACUCACGAUCGUACGAUCUUUCACAAUUAGCUUCCGGUCCUGGAUCCGAACCACCGGUUUGAUCGUCAUCGUGGGUGCUUCUCUUAAUACCGAUUACCCAAGAAACAAACCAAAAGAAUCAGCAACUAAAAUUUUCUGGGAAACCAAACAGGUAUAGGUAUAGAUGGAAAACAGAGAGCCGGUUACUGGUUGCUCUUGAGAUGUGAAGAGAACAGACAGCAGAGAGAACCCAAUGGAUGAUUGGAUUGCAGGUAAAUGGUUGAUAUUUAUAGGGGGAAUUCAAAAAGGAUUGAUACUGUAACAAGAAAUUGAAAUCAUUCUUGCGUAUCUCUGCAACCUGGUGUUCUUCUCGACUUCAUUCGCGCAGCUUAUCCAUUGCCAGCAGCAAAGAAAGGAUUUUUAUUGGCCAGACA
rnacentral:misc_RNA from 1 species